rfam:Glycine soja cultivar W05 scaffold521_54, whole genome shotgun sequence.
AUACUUACCUGGAUGGGGUCAAUGGAUGAUCAGGAGUGUCUAUGGCCUGGGGAAGUGACCUCCAUUGCACUUCGGCGGGGUGUUUUCCUAAGGUCUGUCCAAGUGGUAGAGCCUAUGUCAUAAUUUGUGGUAGUUGGGGCUUGUGUUCGUGCAACUCCAC